GGAUAUGAGGCAAUCUGGCUGCGACAUCUGUCACCCCAUUGAUCACUAGGGUUGAUUCGGCUGAUCUGGCUGCCUAGGUGGGUGUACCCUUCCUCCUUCACUGCUCUACAUGUGUCCCUCCCCAAGCUGUAUGCUAGGUUGAAGAGGACCAGUCUUCCGUUGAGGGUACAUGAGUAGCUGCACUCCCCCGCUAGAACCUCCAAAAAUGCUCUCAAGAAGUGGAAAGAUAUUCCAUGUUCAUGGGUUGAAAGAAUUAACAUCAU
rnacentral:snRNA from 1 species